AAUGCAUCGGACAUUUCUGAAGUAAUUUUUUAAAUCAUUCCCAAGCUUUAUAUAGUGUUUCAUCCUCUGAUUGUCGAAAAGACGUGAUAUCAUUUCUAACCUU
rfam:Gossypium raimondii chromosome 7, whole genome shotgun sequence.